GGGAAACCCAGUGUGAUUCGUCACACUAUCAUUAACUGAAUCCAUAGGUUAAUGAGGCGAACCGGGGGAACUGAAACAUCUAAGUACCCCGAGGAAAAGAAAUCAACCGAGAUUCCCCCAGUAGCGGCGAGCGAACGGGGAGGAGCCCAGAGCCUGAAUCAGCAUGUGUGUUAGUGGAAGCGUCUGGAAAGGCGCGCGAUACAGGGUGACAGCCCCGUACACAAAAGCGCAUGUGCUGUGAGCUCGAUGAGUAGGGCGGGACACGUGGUAUCCUGUCUGAAUAUGGGGGGACCAUCCUCCAAGGCUAAAUACUCCUGACUGACCGAUAGUGAACCAGUACCGUGAGGGAAAGGCGAAAAGAACCCCGGCGAGGGGAGUGAAAAAGAACCUGAAACCGUGUACGUACAAGCAGUGGGAGCACCCUUCGGGGUGUGACUGCGUACCUUUUGUAUAAUGGGUC
rnacentral:rRNA from 1 species